rnacentral:rRNA from 1 species
AAGCUACAUUAUUACAUCCGCCCGGGAACUACGAGCCGCAGCUUAAAACCCAAAGGACUUGGCGGUGCCCCAAACCCACCUAGAGGAGCCUGUUCUAUAAUCGAUACCCCCCGCUUAACCUCACCCCUCCUCGCCAGCAGCCUAUAUACCACCGUCGCCAGCCCACCUCAUGAGAGAAAGCAAGUAGGCACAAUGGUAGCCACCAAAACGUCAGGUCAAGGUGUAGCUCAUGGAGCGGAAAGAAAUGGGCUACACUUUCUACACAGAAGAUACGAAAGACCACUAUGAAACCUGGUCUGAAGGCGGAUUUAGUAGUAAAAAGAUUCAAGAGUGUUCUUUUUAAUCCGGCCCUGGGGCGCGCA